rnacentral:tRNA from 1 species
CCUAUCAUGGCGUAGUGGUUAACGCGCCCCAACUAGAGAUCGGGGAGUCGUGAGUUCGAUUCUCACUGAGAAGA